GACGAACGCUGGCGGCGUGCUUAACACAUGCAAGUCGAGCGGUAAGGCCCUUUCGGGGUACGACGAGCGGCGAACGGGUAGGAGUAACAACGUGGGUGGACCUCGCCCUCCAGCUCUGGGAGUAAGACCCGGGAAACCGUAGGGUCGUAAUACCGGAUAUGACUUCAUGACGCAUGUUGUGGAGUGGAAAGCCUUGUGCGGCUGAGGAUGGGCCCGCGGCCUAUCAGCUUGUUGGUGGGGUGANGGCCUACCAAGGCGACGACGGGUAGCCGGCCUGAGAGGGCGACCGGCCACACUGGGACUGAGACACGGCCCAGACUCCUACGGGAGGCAGCAGGUGGGGAAUCUUGCGCAAUGGGCGAAAGCCUGACG
rnacentral:rRNA from 1 species